UACCAGACUCCUACGGGAGGCAGCAGUGGGGAAUAUUGGACAAUGGGGGAAACCCUGAUGCAGCGACGCCGCGUGAGUGAAGAAGUAAUUCGUUACGUAAAGCUCUAUCAGCAGGGAAGAAAAUGACGGUACCUGACUAAGAAGCCCCGGCUAACUACGUGCCAGCAGCCGCGGUAAUACGUAGGGGGCAAGCGUUAUCCGGAAUUACUGGGUGUAAAGGGAGCGCAGACGGCAGUGCAAGUCUGGAGUGAAAGGCGGGGGCCCAACCCCCGGACUGCUCUGGGAACUGUAUAGCUAGAGUGCAGGAGAGGCAAGUGGAAUUCCUAGUGUAGCGGUGAAAUGCGUAGAUAUUAGGAGGAACACCAGUGGCGAAGGCGGCGUGCUGGACUGUAACUGACGUUGAGGCUCGAAAGCGUGGGGAGCAAACAGGAUUAGAUACCCGGGUAUUU
rnacentral:rRNA from 1 species